rnacentral:rRNA from 1 species
GCGUUGCUCGGAAUGACUGGGCGUAAAGGGCGCGUAGGCGUCUUGGUUUGUCAGACGUGAAAGUCCUGGGCUCAACCUGGGGAUGGCGUUUGUGACGGCUGGGCUGGAGUGGGGAAGAGGGUCGUGGAAUUCCCAGUGUAGAGGUGAAACGCGUAGAUAUGGGGAAGAGCACCGGUGGCGAAGGCGGCGACCUGGUCCAUGACUGACGCUGAGGCGCGAGAGCGUG